rnacentral:lncRNA from 1 species
UUCCCUCUUGCUGGAUUACAAAAUGGGAUCCAAACCAAGAAAAAUAUUUGGUGCAAAAUAUAAGAAAAAUAUGAGACAAGAAUUUUUACGUGGAAAACCCAAAUUGGGAAAAACCACGAGACCGUAGUGUAGAAAUCUUCCACUAUGUAUAUAGUAGGCUUACAAAAAAUUCUCCCUACACAAAAUAGGGGAAACACAAAUCUCAAGUUUAAUAACUUGGAAAACACAAGAGGACUGAGCUACUAUUUUAAGAGAGAUGAAAAAUCCUAUGAUUUUUCCUCACAAUUUUCUUCUCUCAAAAGCACUCACCA